GACGGAGGAUGCAAGCGUUAUCCGGAAUGAUUGGGCGUAAAGCGUCCGCAGGUGGCAGUUCAAGUCUGCUGUCAAAGACCGGGGCUUAACUUCGGAAAGGCAGUGGAAACUGAACAGCUAGAGUAUGGUAGGGGCAGAGGGAAUUCCUGGUGUAGCGGUGAAAUGCGUAGAGAUCAGGAAGAACAUCGGUGGCGAAGGCGGCCAGCUAGACCAGUUCUGACACUGAGGCGCGACAGCGUGGGGAGCAAACAGG
rnacentral:rRNA from 1 species